rnacentral:rRNA from 1 species
AUUGAACGCUGGCGGCAUGCUUUACACGUGCAAGUCGAACGGCAGCGCGGGCUUGGGCCUGGCGGCGAGUGGCGAACGGGUGAGUAAUGCAUCGGAACGUGCCCAGUAGUGGGGGAUAGCCCAGCGAAAGCCGGAUUAAUACCGCAUACGACCUGAGGGUGAAAGCGGGGGACCGAAAGGCCUCGCGCUAUUGGAGCGGCCGAUGUCGGAUUAGCUAGUUGGUGGGGUAAAGGCUUACCAAGGCGACGAUCCGUAGCUGGUCUGAGAGGACGACCAGCCACACUGGGACUGAGACACGGCCCAGACUCCUACGGGAGGCAGCAGUGGGGAAUUUUGGACAAUGGGGGCAACCCUGAUCCAGCCAUGCCGCGUGCGGGAAGAAGGCCUUCGGGUUGUAAACCGCUUUUGUUCGGGAAGAAAUCCUCUGGGCUAAUACCCCGGGGGGAUGACGGUACCGGAAGAAUAAGCACCGGCUAACUACGUG